rnacentral:rRNA from 1 species
UACAGAGGUCUCGAGCGUUGUUCGGAUUCAUUGGGCGUAAAGGGUGCGUAGGUGGCGCUGUAAGUCGGGUGUGAAAUCUCGGAGCUUAACUCCGAAACUGCAUUCGAUACUGCCGUGCUUGAGGACUGGAGAGGAGACUGGAAUUACGGUGUAGCGGUGAAAUGCGUAGAUAUCGUAAGGAAGACCAGUGGCGAAGGCGGGUCUCUGGACAGUUCCUGACGCUGAGGCACGAAGCCAGGGA